rnacentral:rRNA from 1 species
UACGUAGGGGGCAAGCGUUGUCCGGAAUUAUUGGGCGUAAAGAGCGUGUAGGCGGUCCGGUAAGUCAGCUGUGAAAGUCAAGGGCUCAACCCUUGAAAGCCGGUUGAUACUGUCGGGCUAGAGUCCGGAAGAGGCGAGUGGAAUUCCCGGUGUAGCGGUGAAAUGCGCAGAUAUCGGGAAGAACACCAGUGGCGAAAGCGGCUCUCUGGGGGUUUUCUGACGCUGAGGCGCGAAAGCGUGGGGAGCGAACCGG